rfam:Trichoderma harzianum strain T6776 Scaffolds0618.1, whole genome shotgun sequence.
UCUUCCGUAGUAUAGUGGUCAGUAUGCAAGCUUGUCACGCUUGAGACCCGGGUUCAAUUCCCG